AAUCCAUGAUGUGGACAAUCUCUCUGGUAGUCUCUAAAUCUUUUCCAAGCGUCGUAGAGGUCUUCUGUGUCCUCCUACUGAAAUUUAUGUAUCUUGUUCCUUAAGAGAUU
rnacentral:snoRNA from 1 species